GCUGUCUCUAAAUAAAAUACAAAAAGGGCUGGGGAUGUGGCUCAGUGGUUAAGUGCCCCUGGGUGCAAUCUUAGGAAUGAAAAAUAAUAUUAAUAAAAUUAAAAAUGUAUCCACAAAUGUUGAUUUUGGGUUGGGGAUUGUGGUAAGUGAGGGAGAUGAAGAUGAAUUGGAAACUAUCUCUAACCUUGCUGGAGUAAAGUGAAGAAAGGUCUAAUGGAUAUUUAGGGUUAUAGACCAACUGUUAUGGUUUAGAUAUAUGGUGUUUCCCCCAAAGCUCAUGUGUUAGAUAAUACAAGAAUUUUCAGAGGCAGAAUGAUUGGAUUAUAAAAACCUUGACCUGAUUAGUGGAUUAAUUCCCUGAUAUGGAUUAAAUGGAUAGUAAGUGGGCAGGUAGGGUGUGAUUGGAAGAGGUAGAUCACUGGGGGCAUGCUUUUGGGUCUAUAUUUUAUCUCUGGUGAGCAGAGUUCUCUUCUCUGCCUGAAUGUCAUGUCCUGAGCUGCUUUCCUCCUCAGGAAAGCAUCAGGACUGCUUUGCCUGCCCUGAUGCUCUGCCUCAUCUUGGGCAAGCUCAGUCCCUGGUUAUCUGUGAUAGAAAGCAGACAGUUGGGGAUGAGGGUGUGGUGUAUCAUCCUGACUGUCUGAUUCCCAGGAACUAUGAAUGGAGACAAGAGCCGGUUCUAGAAGCAAGUUGCUAAAGAGAAUAAGGUCCUCAUCAUGUCAAGCAUUUUGAAUAUGGAUGUGCAAAGCUAAGUGUAUCUGAGGAGAAUCAAAAUGCAAAAUAUGCUGUAGCUAGAAAUCCAGUACUUCAGGGCAGAAACAAAUGACCAACAUCAUGAAUAAGAAGAGUAGAAACCUAAUUAAUGGGAAGGCAGAAUUGGUGGGCCACCCAGCUAUUCCAUCUUUGUCUUGGAAUCAAGACCCAAACCCAGUGCAAACUACCAUACUCCUAAAAAAUGAGAUGGGUUGAGACUUUUUGGAUGUCUACAUGUAGAUUCUCCCUUGCAAAUCCUAGGCACAUACCCUCUUCCCUCAUCCUUCCCUCCCACUAUCACUACCAUUAGGAAAACAAAUACUAUAUGAUAUCACUUAUAUAUGAAAACUCCAAAAUUUGAUCUCAAAGAAGUAGAAAGUAGAGUAGUGAUUACCAGAGCCUGGGAAAGGUAAGAGCAAGAAGGGAAUGGAGAAAAGAUGGUACCGAAGAGCAGUUGGAUAGUUUCUAAUAUUCUAUAGCAUAGUAGGCUAACUAUGGUCAACAACAACUAAUUCUACUACACAUCAAAAUAGCUAAUAGAGGGUUUUGAAUGUUUCCAAUACAAAGAAAAAUAAAAUGUUGACAGUGGUGAAUAUGCCAGUUACCAUAAUCUGGUUAUUACACAUGGUAUACAUGUGUUAAAAUAUCACAUUAUAUGCCCAAAGUAUAUACAUGUAUUUUGAAUCAAUCAAAAAAGUAAAUUUUAAACAGAAUUAGAAAACAAAACAUUUUUUUAAAAAAUCCAGAGCAUAUAUGAUUCCAUAAAUGUUUGUUAAAGGUGUAUUUAUAUAUUUUGAAUGCUUACAAUAGGAUACAGAAGGAUACAUGCUUAUGCAUCAAACCAUUACUAGUUAAAAACGUCAAUUAUUUAAAAAAAGAAAAAUACAGAUCCU
rnacentral:lncRNA from 1 species